AAAUUGAAGAGUUUGAUCAUGGCUCAGAUUGAACGCUGGCGGCAGGCCUAACACAUGCAAGUCGAACGGUAACAGGAAGCAGCUUGCUGCUUCGCUGACGAGUGGCGGACGGGUGAGUAAUGUCUGGGAAACUGCCUGAUGGAGGGGGAUAACUACUGGAAACGGUGGCUAAUACCGCAUAACGUCGCAAGACCAAAGAGGGGGACCUUCGGGCCUCUUGCCAUCAGAUGUGCCCAGAUGGGAUUAGCUAGUUGGUGAGGUAACGGCUCACCAAGGCGA
rnacentral:rRNA from 1 species